UCACCUAGAAAAGAGAGAAGCGUCCUUUGGGC
rnacentral:piRNA from 1 species